rnacentral:lncRNA from 1 species
GACAGCCACCAAAUGGGCCUAAGUCAAGCAAGUGAGCCCAUUGGGCCAAACCAACUAUUUCUCUUUCAAAGCCCAUGGUCCAACUUUGAGCCCAAUCAAGCCCAACCAAUUUCCAAGCCCACUCCUAUUCAUGGCCAAGCCCAUUUCUUAGGCCCAUCCACCAAUUUCAGCCCAAGGUCAGAUGUGUAAUUUGUGCAAGGUGGAAAUGACCAAAUUACCCCUAGUUGUAGGGAGAAAAGGCUAGAGAAGAGAGAGAAGAUGAGGCCAUCAUGGGCAUGGGAACUUGGGGCAGGUUUUAUGGAGGCUUUGACAGCCCUCCCAUCACUCUCUCUCUCCCCCAUUCGGUCCCCAUCUCGAACGGAGCUCUCUCUCUCCUCGUUUUCCCUCUCCUUCAGUUCCUGCUCCAGCUGACCCUUCGUCAAAGAAUCGAGUCAAAAGUGGUCUUCCCGGAUGAAUCAGACAACGAGCCACAUAUCACCGUGACCGGGAGAGACAGACCGUUCCAACGAGCCCGAUUUCGUCCCGAACGGAGCCACCGGCCGGCCUGGGCGCCGCCGUGAAGGAACCGGUCGCUGGUCCGUCGGUCCGCCUGCAGCCUGCACUGUUUCGCGGUUUCGGCCAUUUUUCUCCCAUUCCGGUCCUUCCUCCGCCCAUCCCAACCUCCAGCAAGACCCCCAAGAACCCCGGGAGCCACCGGUUGCCAACCACCCACUUGUCGGAGCUCCAAUCGGCCCGUUUUCGCCAUUGAAGCUGCUGGUUUCUUCUCUGCAGUUCAGCCAAGAUCAGAAGCAGAUGACAGCAAGGUUUUGGAGACUUUGUGGCCCGUUUUCAAGCCCUUCCCGGCCUCCGUUGGUGUCGCCGCUUUGGGGUUUAUCGACCGCCUUGGUGUCGUGGUCGCCGUGAACUCACCGGCGUGCAAAACCGGUGAGUUUAUCCUCUAAUUCUUGCUUAGUGAGUUAAUGACGCUUAAGGGGUGUUUAGAUUAGUCUAAUUAGGUUUAGGUGGUUAGAUUAGAUUAUUUUAAUGUAAAUUAGAUUAGUUGUAUGAUUAGCUUAAUGGAUGUUUAAUUAGGGCUAAUUGUAUGUUUAAAUUAGUGUAAUCUAGUUUAAGCCCUAAUUAAUUAUUUUUAAUUAAAUAAUUAUUUCGAAUUUAUAAAUAUUAUUUUAUUAAAUUAUAUUAUUAUAAAAUAAUAUUUAAUUGUUUAAUUUUCGGAAUUAAAUUAAUUAUUUAAUAAUUUCGAAAAUUAUGCCGGGAUGGCCGGUCGUUAGAAUUUCGCGCUGAUCGCAGCAGUGCGGUCGGUUUGUGUUAAUUGUAAGCUUAAAUUGAGAAAUUGAGUGAUUGAUGGUUAUGGUUAAUUAUUCCAAAAGUGUGGAAUUGAGUGAUAUUGAUGAAGUUUUGGUAUUUAACUUGAAAAUACCCGGUGUUGGCUUUUGGCACCGUAAUUGGUUGGUAGGUCCAGUUUGUAUCGAUUGAUUGAAUGGAUGUUUAUGUGGGGAUUUAUCCCAAAGUUGAUUAGUGUUGGUUUUGAUGGGAAAAUGACCGUGAGAGGUUGUGAGUUGAACCUAGAAAGCCACUAAAUCUAAAUUAUGCCGAGUGGGGCCGUGAUGCCACUACAUAUAACAUUGCCGAGUGGGGCCGUGAUGCCACUACAUAUAACAUUGCCGAGUGGGGCCGUGAUGCCACUACAUAUAACAUUGCCAAGUGGGGCCGUGAUACCACUACAUAUAGACUUGCCUAUAAGGCCGUGAUUGAGAGUCGAGAAUGAAUAGUCAGAAUGACCGUGUGAUGAUUUCGAUGACAUGUAAUCGACUGAGUCAAUUGAUCGAUGAAUCGAUCUGAGUGAUUGAAUUGUUUGGAUGAUGUGGUUGUCAAUAUUUAUUGAUUAAACUAACGUGCAUGAAGGAAUUGAGGCGAGGUAAGUCCUCUAUCCUAUUUGUGUGGCUAGAGCGCCCUGAGGCGUAUUUUCUUCCUAAUUGAGUUUUAGAGGGUAGGACUCGCUGAGACGUAGUCUCAUCCCGGUUGUGGGAUAAUAUUUCAGGUCCUUAGAUGACGGUCGUGGAGGACCGGAAGUCCUGGAGUUCGGAAGGUGGAGGCUGAAGAAUCGGCGAACGUGUCUGACAAGUUGGUCAUAGGACAGUUCCCUUUUUGUUGAGCCUGUCUAUUUUGUAGACAUCCAGUGUUGUAUAUAAACCUAUGUGUUUAUAGAAAGCUUGUUUG